GACGAACGCUGGCGGCGUGCUUAACACAUGCAAGUCGAACGGAAAGGCCCUGCUUUUGUGGGGUGCUCGAGUGGCGAACGGGUGAGUAACACGUGAGUAACCUGCCCUUGACUUUGUGAUAACUUCAGGAAACUGGGGCUAAUACCGGAUAGGAGCUCCUGCUGCAUGGUGUGGGUUGGAAAGUUUCGGCGGUUGGGGAUGGACUCGCGGCUUAUCAGCUUGUUGGUGGGGUAGUGGCUUACCAAGGCUUUGACGGGUAGCCGGCCUGAGAGGGUGACCGGCCACAUUGGGACUGAGAUACGGCCCAGACGCCUACGGGAGGCAGAAGUGGGGAAUAUUGCACAAUGGGCGGAAGCCUGAUGCAGCAACGCCGCGUGCGGGAUGACGGCCUUCGGGUUGUAAACCGCUUUCGCCUGUGACGAAGCGUGAGUGACGGUAAUGGGUAAAGAAGCACCGGCUAACUACGUG
rnacentral:rRNA from 1 species